AUAUAGUCUUCUUUUUUAAAUAAAAUAAUGGUUAGAUGUUUAUCUGUCAAAUAUUAAUUAACCCCAAUGGAAUAAUAAACUAAGUAUAAAUGAAAUUAUUUCAAAUAUUAAGAUUUGCAAGUGAGAAUUCAAUAUUUUGGAGCUAUCUCCAUUAAAUAUGUUUAAUUUUCGAAUAGAACAAGAUUAUAUUAAGGUUAGGUUCAUUUUUGGAAUUAGGGUUUGUUAUUGGGCUAUAACAAUAACUCUGUUCUAUUUAUCACUUAUAACUAUAAUUUUAAUUCUUGUAUUAUUCAUCAUUAACACUAAAUUCGUAGUAGUAAACAUAAUUUGAUUAUAUUUUCAUGAUAUUUUAACGGGAAGGAAAAGCAAUGCUGAAAUCAGACUAAGAUUUUUUAUAUGGGAAAUUUGAAGGUUUGCACUCAAAACGUGUCUACAAAUUUGUCAUUAUUAUUCGAUAGAAUGUAUAAUAAAAAACGUUGAUGGGGCAGUUGCAAGUUAAACAUUAAAUUUACCAGGUUAAAGUUUAUUCUGGAACAGCACAUCUAAAGGACCUAGAGCAACUGUUUCAGGCAAAUUAAAGUUAUUGAUCAAGUUAUAUGAAGACACUUCAAUGUUAACAUCGAUGAACAUGAAGUCUGAGAAGUCUUGAAAACAAAUAUGAAACUUGAGCUGACAACUCUUAAAUUGAAAAAAGAUUUAAAGAGUACCUGAUGCUUCCAAUCCAAUGUAAAAACAGCCAAUGUUUCCAUAUGAAAGUGUUAUCAAAGAUAAGGAUGGAAAGUGUCAAUUCCAUUACUAUUCAAUCCUGAUGUUUCUUUUGUUGAAAAAAUAAAUAAAGUAUUAAAAAUGAAUACACCAAACCAAGUGACAUUUAUAUUAGUUGGAAUAUCAUUUUAAUAUGGAAUAAAAGUUCCAAAACUGUAGCAUCUUAUUAGUAGUUUUACAUAAAUGAAAGUAUGUGUGUUAAUAAUUCAAAAAUUAUACCAACAGUUUAAUCAACUAUUAAAUUAUCAGGAGAUAAAGCAUGGUGGAAUGUGAGUAUGGAUUAGAUUUUCUGAUUCAUUUAGUAUCAAACUGAAAACAAAAUUUCGAAAUGGAAGAUGCCGUUUGUGCAAUUUAUGGGAGUUACAUCUUUGUGCAUUGCUUACUUGUGAUGGACUGUUAUGGAUUUCACUUGAGUAGAAUUAUUUUGCAAAACUACUAGGAAACGUAUAAAUGAUUGGUAUUUUUUUUUGAUUAUAUUGUAAAAUACAAAUAAUGGAGAAAAACCCUGUAUAUCAUAAUUGAUAAAAAUAAUUUCAGAAAUAAAAUAAUGUGAGCCUCUGUUAAAUAACAAAAAUUCUUUCAUCUUUUAGUUGUAAACAACUUAUAAUAAAAUCAGGUAUUGAAACAAAAAAGGAAUUUUUUGUAUAAUUGGAAAUUAUAUUUCAGGUGUAAAAAAAGAUUAAAGGCAGUAAUCCUCGGAGAUUGCUCUGUUUCUUAAUUUCCACGCAUGUGCCUAAAUCAAACGGCAAGGCAAAACGUCGGAGCAAACGGUGGAAAUGAGUUGGUCGAGGUAUCGAAAUUUGCUUAGGGGUAUCAUAAGAUACCAAAAUUUCAUUCUCUAUGACUAUUCGAAAUAUAGGUUUUCAUUGAAACUUAGAAAUGGAACUUACAUUGUGGAUGUACCUCGUAUGAAGGAAAUUCUAAAAUCAGUUAUUCAAAUUUUUCUAAAAUUUUCGGUCCGAAUUAUUGCAUCAAAUUUUGAUUUGAUGCAUUUUUUUUCUUAUUUAUUAAGUGAGCAGAACUUUGAUC